UAAUUAAAAGAAAAAUUAAAAAAAUUAAAUAAUAAUAAUAUAAAAGAAAGUAUUUAUGGAAAGUGGCAUGAGACAAGUUUUUCAAGAAAAGUGCUACCUGUCAUUUUUAUGGAAAUACCUCCUUAUUUUAUUAUAUAUAUAGAUAGAUAGAUAGAUUUGAAACUUUAGGGAGUUUCAACUCAAGUUUUGAUAAAUUAUUUGUUCACUCUCUAUUGCCAUCCAAGUAACUGUGUUAUAGGGUUGAUCACGCAGG
rnacentral:misc_RNA from 1 species